CCCCAAGAGGAGCUGUGAGAGAGGCUGUGUGCUGUAGCGAAGUCGCCACCCUCCCACUCCUGCUUCCUGACGCCUGGGAGCCCUCCACACCUGUGUGGCACUGCUUUGCUGCACACAUAUUUUUCUCUUAUUACUGCCCCGUAAAUGUAUGUGCGGGUUGAGAAUGGAGCUAUCGGUCUUUCAAUUAAUAUGAUUCUGAUUUCAUGGUCCUAGAGAUUCUUUUCCUUCUUGGUUUUGAGCUCGAGCUCUGCAGCCUGUGAGCCCACAGGGAAUGCAGUGCCCCGCGCUUGUGCGGUGUGCGCGGCGCCAGGGUGCGAGGCGAGGCGCGUUGAGGCCGGACGGCUCAUUAAAGCUCCCCUGCUGGAGAGCCAGGGACUUCGCUCAGUUGUUCCACCACCUGCCUCGCAAGCAGAAGGACCCAAGUUCAAUCCCCGUCUUAACAGCUAUGAGAUUCUCUAAUUCAGUGAAGUUAUUCGAGGUGGAAACGGUGAUGCUGCUUGCGCUCCGGUCUUCGGCGAGCCCUUCCAUGAGUCCCUAAAAUACCCUUUUGCUGGGCUGUGUUCUAUUGUGAGUGACUACGCCUCCGAAACUCUUUUAACUCUCCUCUGUGCCCUAUGAGAGUCUGCAUUUGUGUCUGUUUCUUGCUCUUUGCUGUAACCAGCUGAUCUCUGGCUUGCACAGUUCAAAAUACGCUUCUUUCAGCUUCCUAUAAAUGCUCAUAAGGUUGUGCAAAGCUAUUUUUAUUUUAUUGGUACAUUUUAGAUAUGCAAUACGAUGACAUUCGUCAAUGGACAUCUGUACCUGUACAUAAUCUCUCUUGAUUCUUAUUUUUCCCCCUUCCCCUGCCCUCCAACACCUCCAUCCCUCCCUAUUUGCAAAGGCUUUGUUUCCAUUUUUUUCAUUUUCUCAUAUUAAUUCCAUUCCCCUCUUUCCUGUCCCCCACAAAACUAUUUUUAUAACACUGAAAACUCAGUAGUUUGGGUACCGGAGUCUGGAAAGAGUUUCUAUUAUCUGCCUCUUUGUCCCCCCUUACUGAGGCGGGUCAGCUUCCCACCUAGAAGUAAGAGCCUCCUUCGCUCCCUCCUUCCCUCUGUUGCCCUGCACAAACCCUUUGAUACACUUACCCAGUGCUGAGGGCCCCCAAAGCCACUCAGGAGGGGCAGUGGCUGGGGAGUGAAUGCUAAGAAUGGGGCUUUGUCCCCGGAGCAUCCUCGCCAAGUGCGGGAGCAGGUGCAAAGGGAGCUCUGCAGUCUGGUGAUUGUCAACUUUUAGGGACCCCCCCUCCCACAUCUUCAGGAUUCUGCGGAGCUGAGCACCAUGGUCAGAGAAGGCUAUGUAUCAGACCAGCAGUUCUGAGAGGCUUUAGACCCGGAGAAACACCAGGAGCGAGAAGGGGCUGUGCACACCACGCUGCAGUCAGCCGGUCUGGAGUGGGAUGUGGCCAGCCCAGCGGUGGGGAGCAGCGGCCUGCAGGUGUCUGGGGACAUGUGAGGAGACAGCACCUCACUCGUGGUGUGGGGACCGGAGACAGUGGCCACCCCCGUGUGCGGAGGGAAGGCUUGCAGAGCUGGCGAGAUCCUGGGAACUGGUGACCGUGUGGCAGGGGCGCAGGCCCAGUGCCACAGCAGCGAGCAUGGAGGACUUUCCCAGUGCCACUGAUUGUGCUGCAGUGCUCAUCCGUGUUCUCAGGGCCAGGUUGUGCACAUGUCCUGUGUGUAUUUGACAUUGCAGACGCUACUCGGUGCGUAUCAGUAGAGGACAUCUGUGUCUCAUCCCGGCACCAUAUUACAGCAGGCUUUUUAUUUUUGCUAUUUUCGGGUAUGCUUUCUGUUAUUUGGAAGUAACUUCAGAUUUACAGAAAACUUGCAAAGAUGGUACAAAGAAUUCCCAUUCCUCCUUUCCCAGACUUCCAUGCUGUGAAACAUUUGCUUUAUCAUUUCCUCCCGUUACAUAAACAUGUUUUUUGGACACACUUAACAUUCCCUAAAACUUUACCCCUACAUACUUGAGUGUGUAUUCCUAAAAACUAAGUCAUUCUUUCCUAACUGCAAAGCAAUCAUCAAAUAGGAGAAUUUACACUGGUGUAAUGCAAUUUUCUAGUCUACAGACCUUCUUCAGAACUUGCCAGUUGUCUCUUGAUAUUUAUAACAAAAGAGAGCCCCUUCUCCCACGUGUUGAUCCACUGUGUCUCUGCCUCCGAACCUAGGGCCCUUCGGCAGCUGUUCUGAGUCUCUGAACCCUGCAGCUAUGUUGCCUGCAGCCAGUUGCUGGGCUGGUUCAUGUGAUGCCCACUCACGAUUAGACGUGCCAUGUAAGUUUUGUGGAAACACCACAGAGGCAGCUCUGUGCUUUGCUGGGGCAUCAUUUCUGGAGGCACUGACCAUCUGUCUUAUCUCAUGACUGGCCAUGUUAAUUUUGAACAUUGGUUAAGGCCUUCCUCAUCCAAUUUCUAAAACUGCAAAACUACUGUUCUCUCCUUGGUUAAUUAACUUGCAAACACGAUUUAAAACUACAGGAGCUGGGCAUGGUGGUGCAUGCCUAUAAUCCCAGGACUCAGGAGGAUCGCUGUUGAGUUCAAGGCCAGCCUGGGGUAUAUAGCAAGGCCAUGUCUUAAAAAAAAAUAAUACAGGAAACGUGCUGUUUCUCCUUGUACCUUCAUCAGGUAUUUUUG
rnacentral:lncRNA from 1 species